AAGGUCUAAAGGUCCUGCCAGGAGGUGGCCUUGGGGACUUGGGACGAAGAUGUCACGGGGCAAAGACAAUGCUGCUUUUCCUUCUUCCAACCACACUGAAUCCCAGGCCACCCAGCUGACGCCUUGCAGAGGGUACACUGGUUACGCUAAAGAAGAGAGUGUCUGGCACCUGGCAAGGAUGGAAUCAGGUGAGGGGACGGGCCUGGGUCCCGCAUCCUUAUCUCAGGACCAUGACAACUGACUGUUGGACAGAUGUGGGGUGGUGGGGCUGCCUUCUGGGCUGAAAAGACCCUGGCCCAAAUGGUUCUGGCAGAAAAACACAUGUAGGAGAGGCCCUCUUGACCCUGCUGGGCCUCUGGAGGCUGCCUGGGCUUGGGUACUGACUUGGCCAUAUCAAAGCUGUGUGAGCAUGGAUCAGCUGGGUCAUUCCUGGGCCCUGUCUCUUAGGGUCCCCUGGGGCUGAGUCUGGCCUACAGGGGAGGGACCGUGAGGAGCCUGGGGAAGGAGGGGCCGAUGGUUCAGGCGGUGGAGCAGCGUGUACAGAGACAGAGAGGCAGGGCCCACGAGGAGAGGAGGCUGCAGAUGUGGGUGGGUGCUGGCUACUGGGGGCCUUGGGGCCAGCUGAGAAUUGGGCUCUGCUCCUCCGGUGAUGGUGGACGGUUUGAGGGGGUGGGAUAUGGCUGGGACAACGGUCCAGAAAGAUCUGACCUGGUGGCUGGGCUGGGGUGAAGACCUUUUUUUUUUUUUUUUUGAGACAGAGUCUUGCUCUGUUGCCCAGGUUAGGGUGCAGUGGCGCGAUCUCGACUCACUGCAACCUUCGCCUCCCAGGUUCAAGUGAUUCUCCUGCCUCAGCCUCCCGAGUAGCUGGGAUUACAGGUGCCCACUACUGUGCCCAGAUAAUUUUUGUAUUUUUAGUAGUGAUGAGGUUUCACCAUCUUGGCCAGGCUGGUCUCAAACUCCUGACCUCGUUAUCCACCUGCCUCGGCCUCCCAAAGUGCUGGGAUUACAGGUGUGAGCCACCCCGCCUG
rnacentral:lncRNA from 10 species